rnacentral:lncRNA from 1 species
GACCAAUCUUAAGGAUUAUUGGAUUUUACUCACAAGUCUAGGGGAAUCAUGAAAUUCUAAUUUCGGAUCACCUGCUCACAUUUAUUUGGGAUCUGUUUGAAGUUAGCGUUCAGGCGCCAAAAUGAUACAGACGUCACUACGUAAAAGUUCAAGAUUGGAAAUAACAUAGAAACACGGUAGGAAUUGUUUCCUGUUGCUUUCGGCAUUUACACGUAUUUCUGUUUAACUGCUUGAUGUGUCUGCUUAAAAUGGGUAUUUUCUUCCAAGGGUAUGGUAUGAUGCAAUGAAUUUCUUCAUCCAAGGGUAUGGUAUGAUGCAAUGAAUUUCUUCAUUAUGCAUUUAUAUUUUCCAACGUCAAAAUAUGCAAAACCAGCAGAUUUCGUUACUUUAUCAAACACGUUGAAGAUAUGUUUCGCCGAUGAGAUCAGAAUAAAAUUGAAACAAUCCAAAGUUACUAUCCAUGCUUUCAGAAAAAUAUAAGCAAUUUUAGAAAUU